CACAUUCUGGGGGAAGCCAGCUGCCAUGUCCUAAGCACAUUCAGUCUAUGGAGAGACCUGCGUGACGAGGAACUGAGGUCUCCGGCCAACACUCGCCCCGCCGAGAGGCCUGGCAGCAUCUGCUUCUGCCCCUUUGGAAGCCAGUCACCGCGUAAAGCUUGAGCGCGGCUACUGGAUGCUAAGAGGCCAAGUGUGAGACAGAGGCCACAUUGAAGAGAAGCAAAGUGCACCAGUGACAGCCAGCACUAAGGCCCCCGCUGCCUGGAACAGGCACUUACCUCUGAGGAGCUGGGAUCCAUUUCCAGGAUGCACACUGAACCAACUGCCCUCAGAUAUCAAAAAGACGAAAAUACAGUCUGUCAGUGCCAGAGGUUUCGCAGCCUUCUUACUGCUUUUGAACUCAAAACAUAGCUUUUAUCCAUGUCUUGAUCGCCUACGUCGUCGGCUUGCAGUUGUGCUGGGGGCUAUAAAGAACUGUCAAGCCGAUGCUUCAUGAUGUCCACACCGCUGACCCUUGUCUGUUCCCACUCGGGCCUCACAUCACUCUUUGAAACUGCCUCCAACACACUGGGUCAACUGGGUGACCUCUCCAUUGUUGUUCUUUACUGCUUCUUUCUCAUAAAAGUUUGAACUAGCCAACUUAAAAUAUUCAGAAACUUCUGAAGUCAAUGGGACUUUAUGCCAAAACCUGUUGUUGGGCAGAAAUGAAGUUCUUGAAAAAAUGACAUUCAAUUCCACUCCUGACACAGACAACACUAACCACCACCAUAGAUUCACGAUGGCUAACAGAGAAGUGCUGCCUCAUCCCAGCUGCAACUCCCUAGUCCAGUACACCUUGUUUGGCUAAAGCUUUCUUAAUUUGAGUGGGACUGAUUCAAUUGCUGGAAAGCAUAAUGGAGGCGGGUCAGGUUUCUUCCCUAGCAAAAUAAAUCUUCUCUAAAUCUUCCUUGGUUAAAUCCACUCUUCAUAAAAUAAAGCAGCUAUUGCAUCCCUCCGUAUGAGUUCGACAAGAUAACCAGCUGUACGUAUUUCAUUCAUCAGCCUCGGAACCACAGCUCACAAAAAGCCUCAUCUAUCGCCCAUGAAACAAAGCGAAGGAAAAUGAAGAAUAUACACAAGCGUAAGCAUAGGGAUUUUUCAGCAUCCCCGUUUCCAUCGGUGCACGAAC
rnacentral:lncRNA from 1 species